rnacentral:rRNA from 4 species
GGGUUGUGAGGUUAAGCGACUAAGCGUACACGGUGGAUGCCCUGGCAGUCAGAGGCGAUGAAGGGCGUGCUAAUCUGCGAUAAGCGCCGGUAAGGUGAUAUGAACCGUUAUAACCGGCGAUACCCGAAUGGGGAAACCCAGUGUGAUUCGUCACACUAUCAUUAACUGAAUCCAUAGGUUAAUGAGGCGAACCGGGGGAACUGAAACAUCUAAGUACCCCGAGGAAAAGAAAUCAACCGAGAUUCCCCCAGUAGCGGCGAGCGAACGGGGAGGAGCCCAGAGCCUGAAUCAGCAUGUGUGUUAGUGGAAGCGUCUGGAAAGGCGCGCGAUACAGGGUGACAGCCCCGUACACAAAAGCGCAUGUGCUGUGAGCUCGAUGAGUAGGGCGGGACACGUGGUAUCCUGUCUGAAUAUGGGGGGACCAUCCUCCAAGGCUAAAUACUCCUGACUGACCGAUAGUGAACCAGUACCGUGAGGGAAAGGCGAAAAGAACCCCGGCGAGGGGAGUGAAAAAGAACCUGAAACCGUGUACGUACAAGCAGUGGGAGCACCCUUCGGGGUGUGACUGCGUACCUUUUGUAUAAUGGGUCAGCGACUUAUAUUCUGUAGCAAGGUUAACCGUAUAGGGGAGCCGGAGGGAAACCGAGUCUUAAC